rnacentral:lncRNA from 10 species
GCUGAGAAUGAGUAAUGCAGCGUUCUGCUGGGGCAGGAGAGAAAUACCUCUUUGUCAGCAAACUCCUGUAAGUGAAGUUCGUCAAGCUGGCAGAAUUUUAGAGGCAUCUCAUUUAAAUUAGAUCUGGCCUUUGUGAUGAUUUAGUGCAAACCAAACCCCUGCUCUCUGUAGGAUCACCUGCUGUGAGAGGAGCCAUGUGGUAAGGACAUUCAAGCAGGCUUGGAAAGCUCCACGUGGCAAAGAACGGAGGCCUUUGGCCAGCAGCCUGCAUCCAUUCUCCAGCCCUGUGGGUGAGCGCCCAGGAAGCAGGCUCCAUCCCCAGCCCAGCCUUCAGAUGACUGCAUCUUGGCCGGCAUUUGGACUGCAACUUCAUGGGAGACCCUGAAUGAAAACACCCAGCCAAAUCUCUUCCGAAUUCCUGACCCACAGAAACUGUGAAAAAGCUCCUGGUUUUUGUGGUUUUAAAUUGCUAAGUUCUGAAGUAAUUUGUACUCAGUAAUAUUUUUUAAAUACUCAGCACUCAGUAAAUAUUUAUUGAACAAAUGAAUGAAUAAAUGAUUGAGUGAAUUAGACUAAAAGCAACAGAGGGCAUGGCCUCACACCCUCUAUUUAUUUAUUUACAGACAGGGUCUUUCUCUGUUGACCAGGCUGGAGUGGUGCAGUAGUACGAUCAUAGCUCACUGCAGCCUCAAACUCCUGGAUUUAAGCAAUCCUGCGGUGUCAGCCUCCUGAGUAGCUGGGACUACAGGUGCUCACCACUGUGCCCAGCUAAUUUUUUAUUUUUUGUAGAGAAGGAGCCUUGCUAUGUUGCCCAGGCUGGUCUUGAGCUCCUGGGCUCAAGUGAUCCUCCUGUCUCAGCCUUCCAACAUGCUAGGAUUACAGGCAUGAGUCACCAUGCCUGGCUGACACCCUCUGUUUUAACCUGAUAGGAUGCAUGUGCCACAGUCCUCUCCUCUGUUCUGUAAGUUUUAGAUCCUAGAGCAAUAUUUCUCCACCUCAGCACUAUUUUUCUUUGAGGUCACAUAAUAUUUUGUGGGGGAGGGUGGGUGGCCCUGUUCAUUGUAGGAGGAUGUUUAGCAGUAUCCCUGGUCUCUACCCACUAGCUGCCAGAAGCAACCCCUUCCUCCAACAAAGUUGUCACAACCAAAAAUGUCACCAAAUUUGCCAAAUGUCCCCUGGGGUACAAUAUUGCCCCCACUUAAGAGCUACUGCUCUAAGGUUGUCACUGAAAAGAGAGUAGAAGUACUCACAAUACUAGCUGGGUCCAGAGAUGCUAAAAAAUGAUACAAUGUUUUCAAAAUAUUUGGCUUACAAAAAUC